rnacentral:lncRNA from 1 species
AAAGAGAUCUGAUGAAGGCUCAGACCCUCUCUCUCUCUCUCUUUCUCUCUUAUGUCCGAUUGUAAUUUAGCCAACCUUCCAAGCUUCUGUUCAGAUGAAUGGAGGUUGUUUACUAGUUACUGCAUUUGUAAGUUGUAAGUCGUUUCCUUUAUGAAUCUUCUGUAAAAAUUUGAUUUCGAGUUCUGUAAUCUCUGUUAGUUUGCUAUAAUCUCUAUCAGUUUGCUGUACUCUCUGUUAGUUUGCUGUAAUCUCUGUCAGUUUGUUGUACCCUUUAUUAAUUUGCUGUAAUCUCUGUCAGUUUGCUGUACCCUCUAUUAAUUUGCUGUAAUCUCUGUUAGAUCUUUGUAAUCUCC